rnacentral:rRNA from 1 species
UCAAGAAACUUCCACAAUGGGCGAAAGCCUGAUGGAGCGACGUCGCGUGAUGGACGAAGUGCUUCGGCACGUAAACAUCUUUUAUGUGGGAUGAAAUUAUUGACAGUACCACAUGAAUAAGGGGCUCCUAACUCUGUGCCAGCAGGAGCGGUAAUACAGAGGGUGCAAGCGUUAUCCGGAAUCACUGGGCGUAAAGGGUGUCGAGGCGGUUGUAUUAGUCGUUCGUAAAAUCUACGAGCUUAACUUGUAGGCGGCGAACGAAACGGUACGACUUGAGGUUUGGAGAGGUGCGUGGAACUCACGGUGUAGGGGUGAAAUCCGUUGAUAUCGUGGGGAACACCAAAGGCGAAGGCAGCGCACUGGCCAAAAUCUGACGCUCACACACGAAAGCUAGGGUAGCGAAGAGGAUUAGAUACCCACGUAGUCCCUGAGCGGGCUGGCAAGGCGCAU